AAGCCGCGUGGUCAUGUAUCCUUUCUAUUCUACUGCCACGUACAUCUUUCUUCCCUAAUUUACAGACUCUAAAACCCUCGUCUCUCAUCAAUUCUCUCUCGUCACUGUUUCUCAAUCUCCCUCAAUCCCUUGCUAUCCCUCAAUCUCUCGCGUCUCUCUCUCUCUCUCUGAACACUCACCCGCUUCCAUCUUUCACCUUUGUACCCGCUGCUUCGUUUCCCGGCACCGUGCUUUGUCGGGUUGUCCUGCCGCCGCCGGAUUUCUCCGUAGCUGCCAUCCUCCGCUCCUAGCCUCCUACCACAUCUCCAGUCGCUGCACAGUGGCCCUCGAAGCCAGCCUUAUACUUCAGUUCUCCGGUCAAUUAACUCUAUUGGCCACAACCCACCUACACCUCUGGUUAUUCUAAUUGGAGUUGAACGAGAUGUUGAUCGUGGCAUGGAUCGAGAAGUGAUUGAAAUGGAUAUUCAGAAAUAGCCAAGGUAGUGUUGCAAGUUGAAGUUAGGCAGAGAUUUGCUAUUGAUAGAAUCUUGUCAGAAGCUAGCUGAAAGGAAUGAUAUGGCACUACAUAGUGUUAAUAGAAAUUUGAGAUAGACACCGGAGUUAAAGAUAAUGUUAAAGAUGGUUCGCCUAUUUAUGCUAAGCGUAAGAGUAAGGCUAGGCGAGGAUUGCAAGUGAUUAAGUUUCAACCUGAUGGUCAGGAAGAGUAAUCAAGAUCGAGUCUGUGGGACUAGUGGUAAUUGGAGUUGACUAAAUUUGAUUUAGUUGUAAAAACAUGUAAUAGAAUUUAUUAGUUUUAUUUUUCUGAUUUCAAUACUAUAGCCUGUUUGCGAUCCUCUUUUAAAGGGGGUUAAACUUUGUUCUUUUAAAUCUUUUAUUAAAGCUUUUAGGUUUUCAA